CCUGGUUUCCUUCUAACUUACCAACAUUCCUUCACAGUCUCUUUUGCUGACUCAUUAUCCUCUAUCUUUAAUAAGAGGUUUUUCAGGGCCCUUUUAUUUUCUCACUAUACUCUUUUCCUUGGCCAUUGCCUCUUCAACCAUGACUUCUAUUACAAUAGGAAUGUCAAUCACUUUCACCUGUCUUCAAUUUAGAUCUUUCCUCUAACACCCGGAUAUGUAAUUCAACUCUUAACUUGAUAUCUCACUUGGAAGAGUUACAAGCCUCUCUGAAAAAAAUCCAUACAGGAUGGAAUGCAUGGCAUUUUCUCUGAAACUUCCUCCCUGUCCAGUGUUAUCUACCUUGGAACGAUUGUCUCAUUUAGAGGGACUCUCUAACCUGAGUACACAUUUGAAACAUCUGAGGGCUUUGAAACAUACCUGCUCCUGGACCACCUGCUGAACCAAUUAAAUCAGAAUUUCUGUUGUGAAGAUCUCCACGUGAGUUUAAGCUUUCCUGCUCAACUGUUAGUUCCAUGAAGGCAACAGCCAUGCCUGCUUCGUUCACUGAAAUAUCUUCGUUUCCUAACACACAGAAAGUCAUCAUUUUUUGACGGAUGAAAGAAUGGAUGAAUGCCUAGUCUUGGAGACAUCUACUUGCAAUAAAGGUUAGAUGAAGGAAAUGGAUGCCAGUGGGAGAUUUGUGGAUCUAUUUCACCAGAUUUCACUCUGCUGACUCAGCAAAAUGGUCCCCGAAGAAAGUGAAGAAACAGAGGCAAAGGGAGCAUAAGCAAUUUUCCAAAGGCCAUACAACAUGUAAGUGGCUGAGCCAAGACUGAAAUCACCAGGUUCUUAACCACUAGGCCAUAUUGCAUUGGAGUGUUGCCUCCUGGAGUAAGACUAGGCUAAAAGCUUCAUAGAAACCUAAAGGAGUUAGAGAAGGAAGAUCUCUCAAUGGAAAUGCUAAGAAGAGACACAAGGAAAGACACAUCACUAAGGAGAGACCCAAGGAAAAUGGCUCUAUGACUACAGUCCAUUUAAAGAAUGAGGGCGUUCCUUCUACCAAGUUACAGGUGGAGAUGUGUUUACCUGCUGGAUACCAAUGCUUCUAGCAUCAGGGAGAAGUUGAGCCCUGGAGGAAACAUUGCCUCUAAGUUUGUGUUCUGAUGGAGAUGAUGACUACUUCACAGGCACUUUGCAAGGUCUGAUGACAUUGACAAUACAUUGGACAAAGAGCAAAGGAAGAGGAGUCUGCAAAACAACAACAACAACAACAGAAAAAAACAAAAUAAAACAAAGGGUCAUCGGAAGAGUAACAGGAGAAAGAAGAGUUAAUGUGUGGUGGAAUCCUUGGGAAAGCAUGAGUCAAGAAGUAUAGUAUACACAAUUCAGAUAACCAAGGGGUUACUUCCAAAAGGAUGAAUGUAUUUGUAGGCAAGGCGCAUGGAAAUAAGCUUUCCUGAAAUCCCACGUAACCCACAAUAGCUCUCAAAAGCUUCAAAAAAUAGUGAUGAAAAAGGUUAACUCUGAUGCUGUUCUGGAGCUGAAAGCAGAUUUUGACCUUGGAUAAACAUGCUGGAUUUUCGCUAUUGAAUGUAUUGGGCACAAUUCAAG
rnacentral:lncRNA from 1 species